rnacentral:tRNA from 1 species
GCCCUCAUAGUUUAACGGACAAAACACAGGCCUCCGGAGCUUGAAAUACAGGUUCGAUUCCUGUUGAGGGCA